rnacentral:tRNA from 1 species
UGCAGGGUGGAGGAGUCAGGUCGUCCUCGCUGGUCUCAUAAGCCAGAAGUCGUGGGUUCGAAUCCCACCCCUGCUU